CACCGGCGGCUCGAGUGGUGGCCACUUUUAUUGGGUCUGAAGCGUCCGUAGCCGGCUUGGCAAGUCCCCUGGGAAAUCUGGCGGCUUAACCGUCAGGCGUCCAGAGGAUACUGCCAGGCUUGGGACCGGGAGAGGUGAGAGGUACCUCAGGGGUAGGGGUGAAAUCUUGUGAUCCCUGAGGGACCACCAGUGGCGAAGGCGUCUCACUAGAACGGGUCCGACGGUCAGGGACGAAAGCUGGGGGCACGAACCGG
rnacentral:rRNA from 1 species